CUCUCCCUACCAGGCGCGUUUUAAAAACCUUGAGCGUAAGCCCAAAAAGGAUAGUAUCUGCUAGCGGUGGGCCUAGGCCGUUACACCAAGUGAGGAAUAUAAAUUAAAUCCCGUUGAAUAAUGGAUUUGAAAGUUCAUGGAGUAUGCCAGCAUUUAGGUGAAAUGUGAAGACUCUACUUCUUAUUGCUGAACAAAUGGUUGAUGUUGUGGAUGAAAUGCAUGAUAGAGAUGGUGGAAUUAUUAGUAUACCAAA